AGUUCAGUGACCUGGAAUUGAUGUAGCCUCCAAGACAUUUUUUUUUUCUACCUGGUCAACAACAUGAAUUUUGAGCCCCAAACACAUUAUUUCUGCUGUCUGUGGUGUCUACUGAGAAUCUAAAGAACCUGUGGAACAUCAGAGACUUUGCAGCUAUUAGAGCUAACCUGUGUACUGCUAACUUGCUACAGAGGAAGCAGCAGAAAGCUGAGCUAACAGGCUGUUUUGCAGGCAAUCCUCGGGUGUCAGCAGGAGGAGGUGACUACCUGCAUUACGGAGCACCCUGGUUCUGAGCCAGUUGCACCUUUGUGCUGCUCUUUGGGGAGGCGAUGCUCAGCAGACACAUGCCUCCAUGUGGUCAGGUGGUGUUGGUGUGAUCUGGGAGGGCACACUCAUGUCGUCAUCUCCUUGUGCCGUCUCCAGGAUCCUGAUGGGAGUUCUCUGUGCCUAUAAAGCAGGGGUAUUUACUUCUGAGCCUGGAGGGCCGGUAUCCAGCACGUUUUAGUUUUAACUGUUUCAACACACCUGAUUUCAGUCAGCAGAUAAUUAACAGGCUUCUGCAGAGCUGCUGCACAGGUAAUUCAACCCCUGAUUCAAGUGUGUUGGAGCAGGGAAACAACUAAAACGUGCUGGAUACCAGCCAUCCAGGACUAGAAUUGAAUACCCCUGCUAUAAAGCCUUCCUCCCUCCUCCGGACUUUAAACAUUAGUAUUUUAUUAUGGUUUACCUGAUUUAAUAAAUAAAUCUCAAUUUAUAAAUUU